CUGCGUAGGGGAGGGGGAAGUCUAUCCGGGGCUUAAGGUUUUUAGUUUUAUAACCGGGUACCUAGUUUAAACCCGGAUAAAACCGAUACCCGAGUGUCAAAAUUGUAUACAGACCGCAUAGAUCUGAGUUUUGAUGAUGUGGGUACCAGCCUAGAUUUAAUCCUAACCGAAACCCAUAACCAGAACAUGGAUAACCGGGUUCCAGACCAGGCCGAGAAAAAACCCGACCUGGAUGAACAGUCCUACCAUGGACAGUUGCUUCUUCACCUUAUGGGAUGUCCACAUCAAAUUUAAAGACAGAAACUUGGCAUUUGGAUGCAUUGGGUACUGCGAUUUCUGGCUUAUACAUGAAAACUGGCAACCAAGUUGGGCGCCCGACAUUGUCGACUUUUGCUCCUGUGUCUUUGUUAUAUGCCACCUUGGUGUUGUUGUUCUGGAUUUUGUUUAUAGGGGACAUGGAUCCACGUACGUGUUUACCCUAGUUGCUUUUGUCUUGGCCACCUUGGCCUUGAUCCCUACCCAACUCAUCCAUGGUUUCCAGCAAGUCAGUUGCCUCCACAGCAAGUAGAGACUACCGUCAAACCAUAUGCGAAGGCUGAAACUGCUCGACAACUUGAAAACGAUGCAGUUGAGGUCAAAAAUCGGGUGUUAGCUUCUUUGUCAUCUCCAGCCCAAAGUAUGGACAAGCUUGAGAGCGAGAUUCAUAAUUUCAUUGCCUUCAGUCUCGCUUGGGGUUGGUUAGGUAAGAAAUUAUGAUAUUCAUCGUAAAAACAUGGACAUGAAGAUGAUCAAGGAAUUCAUCAUGGAGGCCAGAAAUCGAAACUCUAGGAGUAUUCUGCACAAUGCUAAGCUGGAGGCAGGAGGUGAACCACAUACGGAACAGAACUAAGCUAGCUGUGGAAGGCGUAGCUGGAUGACAAGAACCGCAUCAUGCUCUUGUCUAUAUAUAUUUUCAUCUUUUACUUCUUCUUUUGGUCUGUACCUAGAAGUUAAUGCUCAUUGCUCACUUGCCAAUAUUGUUGUACAGUAAUCUAUGAUGAACCCGCCUUAUGAUUAUAAACUGUGGUUAAGAAAGAUCUUAGGUCUCUUCCAACCUAGCUGGUUAAUUGGUUGUAGAUCUGUUCAUGGGUUAA